AGGUCAAGUGAAGAAGGGCGCACGGUGAAUGCCUUGGCACUGGAAGCCGAUGAAGGACGCGACUAACCGCGAAAGUCUUCGGGGAGCCGUAAGUAGGCUUUGAUCCGGAGGUCUCCGAAUGGGGGAACCCAGCAUGUGCAGACAUGCUAUCCUUAAGUGAAUACAUAGCUUAAGGA
rnacentral:rRNA from 1 species